rnacentral:rRNA from 1 species
UACGAAGGGGACUAGCGUUGUUCGGAAUCACUGGGCGUAAAGCGCACGUAGGCGGAUGUGUCAGUCAGGGGUGAAAUCCCGGGGCUCAACCUCGGAACUGCCUUUGAUACAGCACGUCUCGAGUCCGGAAGAGGUGGGUGGAACUGCGAGUGUAGAGGUGAAAUUCGUAGAUAUUCGCAAGAACACCAGUGGCGAAGGCGGCUCACUGGCCCGGUACUGACGCUGAGGCACGUAAGCGUGGGGAGCAAACAGG